rnacentral:rRNA from 1 species
UACGUAGGUGGCGAGCGUGUCCGGAUUUAUUGGGUUUAAAGGGUGCGUAGGCGGCUUUGUAAGUCAGUGGUGAAAUACUCCAGCUUAACUGGAGGGGUGCCAUUGAUACUGCGGAGCUUGAGUACAGAUGAGGUAGGCGGAAUUGACGGUGUAGCGGUGAAAUGCAUAGAUAUCGUCAAGAACACCGAUAGCGAAGGCAGCUUACUGGGCUGUAACUGACGCUGAUGCACGAAAGUGUGGGGAUCAAAACAGG